ACUGUGUGCCAUAUACAACACAACAAUUUUGUCUCACUAACCGAAUACUCAUUCUAUUGCUAUGAUUAGGUAACAAAGUUUGCGAGGAUGCAAUACCGACUUCCUUCUAUCAUAAAACAAAGAUUACUACUUUUUAAUAAAAUUACUUCACGUAGGAGGCCAUGAAAUAUCAGAAUUGUAUGUAAUCGGUAUUGCAAAUCUCUAGUAUUGUCAUGUAUAAAACUGUGAUGUUCUCUAUGAUAAAUAUACCUUUUAAUUGCAAAAAUAAACCAUGCUAAAAAAUAUAAUGUAAAUAUACUACUGCGUUAUUUUAGUAUCCUGUACCAUAUGUUAGCUUGUGACUUAAAUCACCCUUCCUUGUACACCUGUUACCAAGAAAUUGUGUACAUGCAAAAAAAGAAACUCCAAAGGAGCGUUGCGUAACAUUAUACAGAACACAAAUAUCGAAAAGAAGGAUAAUGGACAAACAAGUAUUAAAAAGUGGCUUUUUAAACAGUAUGCUCCGUUUUCUAUCCUCUUAAUCAUCUUUGCUAUAACUCGAUUUGUUCAAAUGCCGUAAUGUUGCAAAUAAUUGAAACUCGUUGCAUCGAGCAUACAUACAAUAUUUACACUGUCAUCCAUGCUACUAGAUAAACAUUACAAACCAUGCAUAUACAAUACUAAAGAACAGCGUAUAAAAUUAAUAAAAUAGUUCUUACUAUCAGCAACAAUUAUUAUUUGGCUACAUCAUUCUGCCUCCCCGACUGCUUGCAAAGGAAACAAAAAAAAGAAAGGUGGAUUAAACACAGGAGAAAGAAACCUAGUUAGGAAUUGAUACCGUUUCCCAUUGAAUAAUUCAAAUAACAAAAAACAUAUAUAAUUUUUGAAUAAGUAUAUUGUACAUACAAAAAUAAGAAUUAAUUUAAAAGACGAGAAAACUGGUAUUUUUGGAUAAACAGACAACGCACAAAACUAAGGAAAAUGUAGAGUACAUACAAAUUGUUAUUACGAAUAUAACUGUAAAGGAGAGAAAAUAACAUUUUAACAUUACAGUUCCAGAUACAGGUUUAAAGUACAACAAAGCUGCAUACCAGCAUACUGCAGCCAUGACAAAAAGAUAA